rnacentral:rRNA from 1 species
GAUCCUGGCUCAGGAUGAACGCUAGCGACAGGCUUAACACAUGCAAGGUCGAGGGGCAGCACGAGGGUAGCAAUACUUGGGUGGCGACCGGCGCACGGGUGAGUAACGCGUAUGCAACUUACCUAUCAGAGGGGGAUAGCCCGGCGAAAAGUCGGGAUUAAUACCUGAUGGUAUGAUGAGAUUGCAUGAUAGCAUCAUUAAAGAUUUAUCGGUGUACGAUGGGGAUGCGUUCCAUUAGGUAGUAGGCGGGGUAACGGCCCACCUAGCCUACGAUGGAUAGGGGUUCUGAGAGGAAGGCCCCCCACAUUGGAACUGAGACACGGUCCAAACUCCUACGGGAGGCAGCAGUGAGGAAUAUUGGUCAAUGGACGAGAGUCUGAACCAGCCAAGUAGCGUGAAGGAUGAAGGUCUUACGGAUUGUAAACUUCUUUUAUAAGGGAAUAAACCCUCCCACGUGUGGGAGCUUGUAUGUACCUUAUGAAUAAGCAUCGGCUAACUCCGUG